UGACCUCGGGAUCAGGUAGGGAUACCCGCUGAACUUAAGCAUAUCAAUAAGCGGAGGAAAAGAAACCAACCGGGGAUUGCCACAGA
rnacentral:rRNA from 1 species